rnacentral:sRNA from 1 species
UCAUCGUCAUCGUAAGCCGGUGGUUGGCCU